rnacentral:rRNA from 1 species
UUCCGGUUGAUCCUGCCAGAGGUUACUGCUAUCGGAGUUCGAUUAAGCCAUGCGAGUCUAAAGGUUUCUUCGGAAACCUUGGCGGACUGCUCAGUAACACGUGGAUAACCUACCCUUGGGACUGGAAUAACCCCGGGAAACUGGGGAUAAUACCAGAUAGAUCAGGGACGCUGGAAUGCGCCUUGAUCCAAAGCUCCUGCGCCCAAGGAUGGGUCUGCGGCCUAUCAGGUUGUAGUAGGUGUAACGUACCUACUAGCCGACGACGGGUACGGGUUGUGAGAGCAAGAGCCCGGAGAUGGAUUCUGAGACACGAAUCCAGGCCCUACGGGGUGCAGCAGGCGCGAAACCUUUACAAUGUGCGAAAGCAUGAUAAGGGAACUCCGAGUGCCAGUAUCUAAUGCUGGCUGUCCUUGUGCCUAAAACGCACAAGAUAGCAAGGGCCGGGUAAGACCGAUGCCAGCCGCCGCGGUAACACCGGCGGCCCGAGUGGUAGCCGCUAUUAUUGGGUCUAAAGGGUCCGUAGCCGGUUCGAUAAGUCCUCUGGGAAAUCUGGUUGCUUAACAAUCAGACUGCCAAGGGAUACUGUCGAACUUGGGACCGGGAGAGGUAAGAGGUACUUCAGGGGUAGGAGUGAAAUCUCGUAAUCCCUGGGGGACCAUCUGUGGCGAAGGCGUCUUANCAGAACGGGUCU